CCUACGGGCGGCAGCAGUGGGGAAUAUUGGACAAUGGGCGAAAGCCUGAUCCAGCCAUGCCGCGUGUGUGAAGAAGGCCUUCGGGUUGUAAAGCACUUUCAGUGGGGAAGAAAGCCUUGGGGCUAAUGCCCUCGAGGAAGGACAUCACCCACAGAAGAAGCACCGGCUAACUCCGUGCCAGCAGCCGCGGUAAUACGGAGGGUGCGAGCGUUAAUCGGAAUUACUGGGCGUAAAGCGCGCGUAGGCGGUCUGAUAAGCCGGUUGUGAAAGCCCCGGGCUCAACCUGGGAACGGCAUCCGGAACUGUCAGGCUAGAGUGCAGGAGAGGAAGGUAGAAUUCCCGGUGUAGCGGUGAAAUGCGUAGAGAUCGGGAGGAAUACCAGUGGCGAAGGCGGCCUUCUGGACUGACACUGACGCUGAGGUGCGAAAGCGUGGGUAGCAAACAGGAUUAGAUACCCCGGUAGUC
rnacentral:rRNA from 1 species